rnacentral:rRNA from 1 species
AUCUAUGGCCAUAGCAUCCUAAAUGUACCUGAUCUCAUCUGAUCCCUACAAGCUAAGCAGGGUCAGGCCUGGUUAAUUACUUGGAUGGGAGACUUUCUGGGAGCACUAGGUUGCUGUAGCCU